GAUGAACGCUGGCGGCGUGCCUAAUACAUGCAAGUCGAGCGAACAGACGAGGAGCUUGCUCCUCUGACGUUAGCGGCGGACGGGUGAGUAACACGUGGAUAACCUACCUAUAAGACUGGGAUAACUUCGGGAAACCGGAGCUAAUACCGGAUAAUAUAUUGAACCGCAUGGUUCAAUAGUGAAAGACGGUUUUGCUGUCACUUAUAGAUGGAUCCGCGCCGCAUUAGCUAGUUGGUAAGGUAACGGCUUACCAAGGCAACGAUGCGUAGCCGACCUGAGAGGGUGAUCGGCCACACGGGAACUGAGACACGGUCCAGACUCCUACGGGAGGCAGCAGUAGGGAAUCUUCCGCAAUGGGCGAAAGCCUGACGGAGCAACGCCGCGUGAGUGAUGAAGGUCUUCGGAGCGUAAAGCUCUGUUAUGAGGGAAGAACAAAUGUGUAAGUAACUAUGCACGUCUUGACGGUACCUAAUCAGAAAGCCACGGCUAACUACGUG
rnacentral:rRNA from 1 species